rnacentral:rRNA from 2 species
GCGCGCGCAGGCGGUUUCUUAAGUCUGAUGUGAAAGCCCCCGGCUCAACCGGGGAGGGUCAUUGGAAACUGGGGAACUUGAGUGCAGAAGAGGAGAGUGGAAUUCCACGUGUAGCGGUGAAAUGCGUACAGAUGUGGAGGAAGACCAGUGGCGAAGGCGACUCUCUGGUCUGUAACUGACGCUGAGGCGCGAAAGCGUGGGGAGCGAACAGGAUUAGAUACCCUGGUAGUCCACGCCGUAAACGAUGAGUGCUAAGUGUUAGAGGGUUUCCGCCCUUUAGUGCUGCAGCAUACGCAUUAAGNACUCCGCCUGGGGAGUACGGUCGCAAGACUGAAACUCAAAGGAAUUGACGGGGGCCCGCACAAGCGGUGGACCAUGUGGUUUAAUUCUAACCAGCGCAAACGACGUUACCAGGUCUUGACAUCCNCUGACGACCGUACACAUAUAGCUCCCCCUUC